GGAAAUUGGUGGAAGAGAAGGAGUGGCCAUUGUUGGAGUAAGAGGAGCGGCGGAAGAUGAUGGAGUGAUAGAGGUUUCGAAGGGAGAGGAAGACAUAUUUUCUUAAGGAGUCUAAAGCUCUGAUACCAUGUGAGAGUUUGAGAAUGGGAGAAAUAAUUGCCGUCUAUUUUAUUAAUGAAUAAUUAACAUAUUUAUAGUGUACAAUAAAAGAGAUUAAUUACAAGUAUAAGACUAAGUAUAAGAUCCACAUAAUACGGCAUUUGAAUAUAUCUAACAUUGAAAUCUCAGACAC
rnacentral:misc_RNA from 1 species